rnacentral:rRNA from 1 species
AACGAACGCUGGCGGCGUGCCUAACACAUGCAAGUCGAACGGGUUCAUAAUGAGUAGCAAUACUUGAUAUGAAUUAGUGGCGGACGGGUGAGUAACACGUAGGUAACCUACCCUUGAGCGGGGGACAACCCAGGGAAACUUGGGCUAAUACCCCAUAAGACCACGGGGUGUGAAUCUUGUGGUAAAAGUAGCGAUACGCUCAUGGACGGGCCUGCGGCCUAUCAGGUAGUUGGUGAGGUAACGGCCCACCAAGCCAUAGACGGGUAGCCGGGCUGAGAGGUUGAACGGCCACACUGGAACUGAGACACGGUCCAGACUCCUACGGGAGGCAGCAGUGGGGAAUAUUGCACAAUGGGGGAAACCCUGAUGCAGCGACGCCGCGUGGAGGAUGAAGGUCUUCGGGUUGUAAACUCCUUUUAAUGGGAAAGAUGAUGACGGUACCCAAUGAAUAAGCCACGGCUAACUCUGUGCCAGCAGCCGCGGUAAGACAGAGGUGGCGAGCGUUGUUCGGAAUUACUGGGCUUAAAGGGCGAGUAGGCGGUGGGACAAGUCUGAUGUGGAAUCUUAGGGCUUAACCCUAAACUGCAUUAGAAACUGUUUUACUUGAGUCAGUGA